CUGCUCACUUUGGCAGCACAUACACUAAAAUUGGAAUGAUACAGAGAAGAUUGGCAUGGUCCCUGUGCAAGGAUGACACACAAAUUCAUGAAGUGUUCUGUAUUUUU
rnacentral:snRNA from 1 species